GUAGUCUCGCACAGAUGCAUAUCAAUAAGCGGAGGAAAAGAAACUAACAAGGAUUCCCCUAGUAACGGCGAGUGAAGCGGGAAGAGCUCAAAUUUGAAAUCUUAAAGGGUUUCCCUUUACGAAUUGUAGUUUAAAGAAGUGUUUUCUGUUGAGGUUUUGGUAAAAGUUCUUUGGAAUAGGACAUCAUAGAGGGUGAGAAUCCCGUAUUUGACCUUUACUUUCAACUUUGUGAUACACUUUCAAAGAGUCGGAUUGUUUGGGAAUGCAGUCCAAAAUGGGUGGUAAAUUUCAUCUAAAGCUAAAUAUUGGCGAGAGACCGAUAGCGAACAAGUACCGUGAGGGAAAGAUGAAAAGAACUUUGAAAAGAGAGUUAAACAGUACGUGAAAUUGUCAAAAGGGAAGCGUUUGACACCAGUGUUGUUUUUCUGAAAAUCAAUUAAAGAACUGUUUAUGCUAAGCUGUCUAGACUUUAUCAGCUAACUGUUUAGUUUUGAGCUUUUCUUUAAUGCACUUUUCAGUUAACAAGUCAACAUCAAUUUCCUUUUGCUGUAAAAAAGCUUGAGGAAGGUGGCUUGAGAUUCGUCUUAAGUGUUUAUAGCCUCUUGCCUAUGCAGUCGGAGAGAUUGAGGUCUGCAGCGUAGAUCCUUCGGGGCUAAAUGCAUUUGUGCUAAGUUAUAGCAUUUUAUAGACAACUUGUUGACUAUGAUUUGUCUUGUAGCUUACUCGCUUAUGUUAUUUUACCUACGCUUAGGAUGUUGAAGACUCUACAGAGAUA
rnacentral:rRNA from 1 species